UCAGGACGAACGCUGGCGGCGUGCCUAAUACAUGCAAGUCGAGCGGACAGAUGGGAGCUUGCUCCCUGAUGUUAGCGGCGGACGGGUGAGUAACACGUGGGUAACCUGCCUGUAAGACUGGGAUAACUCCGGGAAACCGGGGCUAAUACCGGAUGGUUGUUUGAACCGCAUGGUUCAGACAUAAAAGGUGGCUUCGGCUACCACUUACAGAUGGACCCGCGGCGCAUUAGCUAGUUGGUGAGGUAACGGCUCACCAAGGCAACGAUGCGUAGCCGACCUGAGAGGGUGAUCGGCCACACUGGGACUGAGACACGGCCCAGACUCCUACGGGAGGCAGCAGUAGGGAAUCUUCCGCAAUGGACGAAAGUCUGACGGAGCAACGCCGCGUGAGUGAUGAAGGUUUUCGGAUCGUAAAGCUCUGUUGUUAGGGAAGAACAAGUGCCGUUCAAAUAGGGCGGCACCUUGACGGUACCUAACCAGAAAGCCACGGCUAACUACGUGCCAGCAGCCGCGGUAAUACGUAGGUGGCAAGCGUUGUCCGGAAUUAUUGGGCGUAAAGGGCUCGCAGGCGGUUUCUUAAGUCUGAUGUGAAAGCCCCCGGCUCAACCGGGGAGGGUCAUUGGAAACUGGGGAACUUGAGUGCAGAAGAGGAGAGUGGAAUUCCACGUGUAGCGGUGAAAUGCGUAGAGAUGUGGAGGAACACCAGUGGCGAAGGCGACUCUCUGGUCUGUAAC
rnacentral:rRNA from 1 species